GAUGAACGCUGGCGGCGUGCUUAACACAUGCAAGUCGAACGAAGCACUUUAACCUGAUUCUUCGGAUGAAGGUUUUUGUGACUGAGUGGCGGACGGGUGAGUAACGCGUGGGUAACCUGCCUCAUACAGGGGGAUAACUGUUAGAAAUGACUGCUAAUACCGCAUAAGACCACGGAGCCGCAUGGCUCAGUGGGAAAAACUCCGGUGGUAUGAGAUGGACCCGCGUCUGAUUAGGUAGUUGGUGGGGUAACGGCCUACCAAGCCAACGAUCAGUAGCCGACCUGAGAGGGUGACCGGCCACAUUGGGACUGAGACACGGCCCAAACUCCUACGGGAGGCAGCAGUGGGGAAUAUUGCACAAUGGGGGAAACCCUGAUGCAGCGACGCCGCGUGAGCGAAGAAGUAUUUCGGUAUGUAAAGCUCUAUCAGCAGGGAAGAAAAUGACGGUACCUGACUAAGAAGCACCGGCUAAAUACGUGCCAGCAGCCGCGGUAAUACGUAUGGUGCAAGCGUUAUCCGGAUUUACUGGGUGUAAAGGGAGCGUAGACGGCUGUGUAAGUCUGAAGUGAAAGCCCGGGGCUCAACCCCGGGACUGCUUUGGAAACUAUGCAGCUAGAGUGUCGGAGAGGUAAGUGGAAUUCCCAGUGUAGCGGUGAAAUGCGUAGAUAUUGGGAGGAACACCAGUGGCGAAGGCGGCUUACUGGACGAUGACUGACGUUGAGGCUCGAAAGCGUGGGGAGCAAACAGGAUUAGAUACCCUGGUAGUCCACGCCGUAAACGAUGACUACUAGGUGUCGGGGAGCAAAGCUCUUCGGUGCCGCAGCAAACGCAAUAAGUAGUCACCUGGGGAGUACGUUCGCAAGAAUGAAACUCAAAGGAAUAGACGGGGACCCGCACAAGCGGUGGAGCAUGUGGUUUAAUUUGAAGCAACGCGAAGAACCUUACCUGCUCUUGACAUCCCGGUGACCGGCAUGUAAUGAUGCCUUUUCUUCGGAACACCGGUGACAGGUGGUGCAUGGUUGUCGUCAGCUCGUGUCGUGAGAUGUUGGGUUAAGUCCCGCAACGAGCGCAACCCUUAUCUUCAGUAGCCAGCAAUUCGGAUGGGCACUCUGGAGAGACUGCCAGGGAUAACCUGGAGGAAGGUGGGGAUGACGUCAAAUCAUCAUGCCCCUUAUGAGCAGGGCUACACACGUGCUACAAUGGCGUAAACAAAGGGAAGCGAGCCUGCGAGGGUAAGCAAAUCUCAAAAAUAACGUCUCAGUUCGGAUUGUAGUCUGCAAUUCGACUACAUGAAGCUGGAAUCGCUAGUAAUCGCGAAUCAGCAUGUCGCGGUGAAUAAAAAGCCGGGUCUUGCUCCCCCCGCCCGUCAAGGG
rnacentral:rRNA from 1 species